ACUCAUCCCUCUGUGCUUUAGAUACGAAGCUGUUUUCAUCUGCAAGUCACUUCCUCAGAAACUCAGUGGGAGACUUUUAGUUCUCGGUUUGCUGCAGGUUUUUUAGAUAUGAAUAAAUUCUCUUUCUCUUCACAAAGAAACCUCCUUCCACCGGAGAGCAACCAGGAGAGCCGCGCUGCAGCGCUGCGGGUGCUCCCACCACUGCACGGACACCCUCUGCUGUCACUUCCUUCGUCUCUUAGCAACGUUCGUGCAGCGCCGGGGUCACCACACCCCGACCACAUCUCACACAGCACAGCCAACUUCCAGAACAAACAACAUCAGCUCAGCCCUUCUGGCAUCUCAUCCGCACGACUCCAACAGCAGCCGUUCGGGUGGAAAUUCCCUGGCUUGGGCUCCUGUGGCCACUCUGCAUGGCCCCGAGGAGAGCGGAGGGAAACCGGCAACACAUGGUGAAAAACACCCUAUAGCUUCUAACUCCUGUCUUUGAGAUCUCGCCAUCUGUUCCCAUGAACUUCAAGCGAGAAGCAGCACCAUUUUGAAGGCGGGCGCUUAAAAAAGCCCUCUGUUCCUUGGGCAGAACCCACCCGGUGCCAGCAGGGAGGGCAGCCGGGCCCCUACCCGGAGCAAGGCUGCAGUGCUGCAGGGGCACAUGGCUCCGUCCCACCUCUGCCCUUCCCUGUGCAGGCACACAGCCCUGUACCCUACAGCUCCAGGACCCCCCCGGAGCCCAGCUGGGGGAAGCACUGUCAGCUCUUUUCCCAGGGCACGGUGUUGCUGGGAAUGCAGGACAGCAGAGCACAGGCCCACGGCACGCUGCAGGCUCCCUCCCCGUGGCACCUUUCCCAAAAGGAGACGAAGCCGAGCAGCUGCUGAUAUGGAAACCAACUGUUUGAACUGCAGUGCACUUACAUAUGCUAAUGGCACCAAGCUACUGACUCCUGCAAACGUGAUGCAGGAAAUGACUAAACAUUUAGUGCUUGUUAUUUAGCAGUAUUCCUGGAGACACGUAGGUGGUGUGGACAGCAUGGUAUGUGCAUUAAAGUGCAAUUUAGGUCAAUGAUUCUUUGAAAGGACCAUUCUCCCUUUUUUUCACCCCCCUCUCCCUUCAGGGAGAAGGAGUGUUCGAAGAUUAACUGCCAGCUUCUUCCAACCAGUUACCCUCAGCUCUAAAGGAAAUAAAAAAGGGGUAAGACUGUAGGAAUUACCCUGU
rnacentral:lncRNA from 1 species